rnacentral:rRNA from 1 species
CCUACGGGUGGCAGCAGUGAGGAAUAUUGGUCAAUGGGCGCAAGCCUGAACCAGCCAAGCCGCGUGCAGGAUGACGGCCCUACGGGUUGUAAACUUCUUUUGUAAGGGGAUAAAGUCAGGCACGUGUGCCUUUUUGUAUGUACUUUAUGAAUAAGGAUCGGCUAACUCCGUGCCAGCAGCCGCGGUAAUACGGAGGAUCCGAGCGUUAUCCGGAUUUAUUGGGUUUAAAGGGAGCGUAGACGGGUUGUUAAGUUAGUUGUGAAAGUUUGCGGCUCAACCGCAAAAUUGCCAUUGAUACUGGCAGUCUUGAGUAUAGGUGAGGUAGGCGGAAUGCGUGGUGUAGCGGUGAAAUGCUUAGAUAUCACGAAGAACUCCGAUUGCGAAGGCAGCUUACCAAGCUGCCACUGACGUUGAGGCACGAAAGCGUGGGGAUCAAACAGGAUUAGAUACCCUUGUAGUC